GGGGUCUUAGCUCAGCUGGGAGAGCACCUGCUUUGCAAGCAGGGGGUCGUCGGUUCGAUCCCGACAGGCUCCACCA
rnacentral:tRNA from 1 species